AUUGAACGCUGGCGGCAUGCCUUACACAUGCAAGUCGAACGGUAACGGGCCUUCGGGUGCCGACGAGUGGCGAACGGGUGAGUAAUACAUCGGAACGUGCCCGAUCGUGGGGGAUAACGAGGCGAAAGCUUUGCUAAUACCGCAUACGAUCUACGGAUGAAAGCAGGGGACCGCAAGGCCUUGCGCGGACGGAGCGGCCGAUGGCAGAUUAGGUAGUUGGUGGGAUACAAGCUUACCAAGCCGACGAUCUGUAGCUGGUCUGAGAGGAUGAUCAGCCACACUGGGACUGAGACACGGCCCAGACUCCUACGGGAGGCAGCAGUGGGGAAUUUUGGACAAUGGGCGCAAGCCUGAUCCAGCCAUGCCGCAUGCAGGAUGAAGGCCUUCGGGUUGUAAACUGCUUUUGUACGGAACGAAAAGCCUUCUUUUAAUACAGGAGGGUCAUGACGGUACCGUAAGAAUAAGCACCGGCUAACUACGUG
rnacentral:rRNA from 1 species